rnacentral:lncRNA from 1 species
CUACGGCUACGGCUUUGUCUCUGCUGGUAUGGGGGUGGGAGCCUACGCGUAGGCCUUGGCCCUAUUUCCUGGUAGAACCGAGAGUUGGAAGUCCCUACGGCGAUCAUGUUAACCGCGCGGGCUCAUUCUGCGGAACGAAGCCGGGCAGAGGGUGGGGAAGACUAGGCUAGAUUUUCGUAAGGAAGCAGCGUCUGAGCCAGGUUUGAGGCCCAAUAUUUUCUUUCCGUGGCCACGUGCAGACUGGCCCAGGUUCGAGAACAUCAUCGAAAAUUAAGAAAGGAGGCUAAAAAGCGGGGUCACAAGAAGCCUAGGAAAGACCCAGGAGUUCCAAACAGUGCUCCCUUUAAGGAGGCUCUUCUUAGGGAAGCUGAGCUAAGGAAACAGAGGCUUGAAGAACUAAAACAGCAGCAGAAACUUGACAGGCAGAAGGAACUAGAAAAGAAAAGAAAACUUGAAACUAAUCCUGAUAUUAAGCCAUCAAAUGUGGAACCUAUGGAAAAGGAGUUUGGGCUUUGCAAAACUGAGAACAAAGCCAAGUCGGGCAAACAGAAUUCAAAGAAGCUGUACUGCCAAGAACUUAAAA